rnacentral:rRNA from 1 species
AGUGAACGCUGGCGGUAGGCCUAACACAUGCAAGUCGAACGGCAGCACAGUAAGAGCUUGCUCUUACGGGUGGCGAGUGGCGGACGGGUGAGGAAUACAUCGGAAUCUACUUUUUCGUGGGGGAUAACGUAGGGAAACUUACGCUAAUACCGCAUACGACCUACGGGUGAAAGCAGGGGAUCUUCGGACCUUGCGCGAUUGAAUGAGCCGAUGUCGGAUUAGCUAGUUGGCGGGGUAAAGGACUACCAAGGCGACGAUCCGUAGCUGGUCUGAGAGGAUGAUCAGCCACACUGGAACUGAGACACGGUCCAGAAUCCUACGGGAGGCAGCAGUGGGGAAUAUUGGACAAUGGGCGCAAGCCUGAUCCAGCCAUUCCGCGUGGGUGAAGAAGGCCUUCGGGCUGUAAAGCCCUUUUGUUGGGAAAGAAAAGCAGCAGGUUAAUACCCCGCUGUUCUGACGGUACCCAAAGAAUAAGCACCGGCUAACUUCGU